GGCGAGAUGGCCGAGCGGUCUAAGGCGCCAGAUUAAGGCCCAACCAAAGUGAGGAUUUGAACUCACGUUCUGGUCCGAUAAGGGCGUGGGUUCGAAUCCCACUCUCGUCA